rnacentral:lncRNA from 10 species
AGACGGAAGCAGCAGCAUUCCGCUUGCAGGUUUUUGAAAAAACAAAUGGGGCAAGAGAGGCCAGGACCACGCCUGACUCAGGCGAUCGGACGGGCAGGGAGGCUGCAAGGCAUGGCAUGAGCAGGUGGAGCUGUCAGGACUGCCCCAGCCCCUGGCUCAAAGAUGCCCGACCCCAGGACCCUGCCUCGCUGGAUGGUGAAGGCCAACUUCCCCUCUGUUGGAGCUGGCCUGGGCGUUGUGGGAAGGGCUGGGAGGAGGCCCAGGACAAUGCAGAACAGACAGGACGUUUCACAGAGCAGGCUGCCAUGUCCCUCGGGGCCUUGGGGGCUGCUGAGGCCCUGAGAAAGGUCACUGGAGGCCUGGCCGGAAGUGCAGGGUUAUCUCAGUACUUGAUUUAAGGCUCCUGCAGCUGAAAAGCUGCCCCACACGGCGGACCGGGUGGAGGAAGUCAGCUGUGCUGCUUAACCGUGGAGUCUCCGUCCCGGUCCUGCUCACCAGCUCUGCAAAGGCCUUGUCCUCCCUGCCUGAUUCUCGGCACCAUUUUUAACACGCCUAUGGAGAGGCCACGUUGAGUCCAGAGGUCCGUGCGCCUCAUGGCCACAUCACGGCACCCGUUCACCCACACAAGGGCCAGGAGCAUCCCCUAGGGAGGAGGAGAUGGCAGAUCUGCACAGGCUCUGCGCUCCUCUCUCUCCGGAGCGUCCUCUCCUCUGUGUGGCAGGCUCGGCGCGUGAUGGAGGAGCCCCUUCUGCAGGGCUCUGUUUAGAGGGUGCCCGCCCCACAGCCUGUGGCUGCUCCUACUCAUGCCAGGUGAGGCUCCUACACCCACCAGUGGCCACCGGGGAGUCACAGCUCCUUCUGCAUCAUCCGCCUGACCUGUUUCCUCAUCUGGGAUGACAACCAGAUCCAGCUCUGAGGUCCGUGCCCUGAGUAGAAAAGUUCACACAGCAAAGUUUCCGGAGCCUUCCCUGACGCGCCACGUGUCCGUCCAUAACUGGUCAUCCUCCACAUCCUGUGAGGCACGUCUCAGCACCUCUUCGUGCAAGCGCCCGCACUAGACGUUUGAGAAACAGAUGUGAGCAGGCGUGGUCCUGACCUCCAUCCCGAGGUUGGG